rnacentral:lncRNA from 1 species
UAGGCCUUGAGACCUAUGGGGUCAUUGUGUGCUGCAGCGAGGCCCUGCCGGCCUGACCAGAUGUGGUGAGCCCAUCCUAUGUCACUCGGAGGGGGCCAGAAUGGGAUCUCAACGGGAGUCCGGAGCACACAGCAGGCGUCCUGAAGCUCCCCCUCCCUCGCUGGAAAUCGGCUCAAGCAGGUCCUGAGGACAGGAGCCCUGGGGGUUUGGGCCUGUGACACGACGAGACACCCGCGGCCCCCGCUCCCACGCCGCCCCAAACAGGACCCAG